AUAAACGCCAGCUUCGGCUGUUUCCGUACGCAGCCGGGAGCACGCCUGCGCAUUGGCCCGCGGCGGAGUGGGGUCGAUACGGGGCCGGCUCAGCGUGCACCAGGAGAAGCCACCAGCUCCUCCGACCGACGUGUCUCGCUCUGAGGUGGAGACAGCCCGCUGAGAGCUGUUUCUAAAUACAAGCAUGUCAAUGAGCGACGUAGAGACACACGAGAGCAUUAUACGGCCCUUCAUUGCCUACAACGGAAAUGAAAACAAUUACCAACACAUCCCAACGUCCGCCUCACCUCCGCAUUUCCCUAAGCUAAUAAAAACUAGGUUGCUUAUAAAAUCAAGAAGUGAAACAGACGAGAAGGGAUCAUUCUGCUAGUCCCUCCAUGUUCUCAAAAUUCAACUGGAAGCUUUGAAUUAAAGAAAGGUUACAAGCACAACGUAAUAAAGGUGGUGCCUCAAUUUCUGUAUUAAAUAAGAGCUAGGAUGUAUUUGAAUCUAAAAAAGAAUAUAUACAUAAAGAACAAAA